UAGUGGAUUCGAGGAAAUAGAGUUCGUGCAUCUAUCAAAAGAAGAGAAUAAAUAAGCUAACUAUUUAGCUCAAUCGACACCGAAAGGAAGCUAAAUAAAAAUGGGGAGAAGGUUGCUACCGUCGGUAUAUACACGAGAGCCGACGAUAAUUGCUCCAGUAGAAGUACAAGAUAAUUGGAGAAAACCUUUAGUGGAAUUCCUCAAUGAUCUAAAUAAAUAGGUUAGCUAUCACAUACGGAAAAGAGCACUCGGCUAUUGUUUGUUAAAUGGGUAGCUUUAUAAAAGAAUAACCAAAGAAGUGAUGUUAAGAUGUUUAGGACCUGAUAAAGCCCUAAUAAUUAUGGAUAAAGUCC
rnacentral:lncRNA from 1 species